rnacentral:rRNA from 1 species
UGGGGGAAUAUUGCACAAUGGGCGAAAGCCUGAUGCAGCAACGCCGCGUGAGCGAAGAAGGUCUUCGGAUCGUAAAGCUCUGUCCUUGGGGAAGAUAAUGACGGUACCCUUGGAGGAAGCCCCGGCUAACUACGUGCCAGCAGCCGCGGUAAUACGUAGGGGCAAGCGUUAUCCGGAUUUACUGGGUGUAAAGGGAGCGCAGGCGGUCUGGCAAGUCUGAUGUGAAAGCCCGGGGCUCAACUCCGGGAUUGCAUUGGAAACUGUCAGACUAGAGUGUCGGAGAGGUAAGUGGAAUUCCUAGUGUAGCGGUGAAAUGCGUAGAUAUUAGGAGGAACACCAGUGGCGAAGGCGGCUUACUGGACGAUAACUGACGCUGAGGCUCGAAAGCGUGGGGAGCAAACAGGAUUAGAUACCCUGGUAGU